rnacentral:rRNA from 1 species
GACGAACGCUGGCGGCGUGCUUAACACAUGCAAGUCGAACGGAAAGGCCCUGCUUUUGUGGGGUGCUCGAGUGGCGAACGGGUGAGUAACACGUGAGUAACCUGCCCUUGACUUUGGGAUAACUUCAGGAAACUGGGGCUAAUACCGGAUAGGAGCUCCUGCUGCGUGGUGGGGGUUGGAAAGUUUCGGCGGUUGGGGAUGGACUCGCGGCUUAUCAGCUUGUUGGUGGGGUAGUGGCUUACCAAGGCUUUGACGGGUAGCCGGCCUGAGAGGGUGACCGGCCACAUUGGGACUGAGAUACGGCCCAGACUCCUACGGGGGGCAGCAGUGGGGAAUAUUGCACAAUGGGCGGAAGCCUGAUGCAGCAACGCCGCGUGCGGGAUGACGGCCUUCGGGUUGUAAACCGCUUUCGCCUGUGACGAAGCGCGAGUGACGGUAAUGGGUAAAGAAGCACCGGCUAACUACGUG